AACUACAUUUCCCAUAAUGCACCAACAAAAUGGCUGCUGAUCACAAAUGAAAACACCUGAACAGGAAUGGUAGCUCAGUCUUCAAACAAGCCAAGGAACAGCACAGCAAGCUCUACUCAAGAGUUUACUCCAAAGACACCAAUGGUUAUCAACCUGACGGUUCAAACAUUGGUUGAUUAACUUGAAACCAACAAGUCUAAGUUGGUAAAUAAAACUCAACGAAAGGUGAA